UCCAGGACAGCCAGGGCUAUACAGAGAAACCCUCUCGAAAAACCAAAAAAAGAAAAGAAAAAAGGAAAGUUAAUAGAGGGAACAGGGUAACCGAAACACACAAGCUGGAAUUUUGUUGAAGUACCUGUGGAUGAAUGUUAAGGGUCUAUGCUCGAGGUACAUGCAAGUUCCAUUGGGGAACACGAGGGAGGAGUUGCUGGCUUCCAUGGUAAGGGUCUAUGGUCUAUGAUUGCAACAGUGUUUAAAGUGAGGGAAGAGGGGGCUGGUGACAUGGCUCAGUGGGUAAGAGCACCCGACUGCUCUUCCAAAGGUCUGGAGUUCAAAUCCCAGCAACCACAUGGUGGCUCACAACCAUCCAUAACGAGGUCUGACUCCCUCUUCUGGAGUGUCUGAAGACAGCUACAGUGUACUUACAUAUAAUAAAUAAAUCUUUUUAAAAAAAAGUGAGGGAAGAUAAUUAGCCUAACCCCUUUUCCUAUCACACAUAGUCCCUUUCUAGUCACUGCUGUAAAGGUGAGGACUGGGGACCUUCCCCAGGAACACUGGUGGCCUUUCUAGUGGUGUCAACAAAUUUUCUAUGGUAGCCCAGUCAGUAUGGUAUGGGGACCUUGGUUCCAGGAAGAGCCAACAAUCUUCUCAGAUGAGGUGAGUGGUGCAGUUCAAGGUAAAGCUGAGCAGUCUAAACAGGGCGAUGUGUCAAAGGCCCAGAGAGAAGUGGGAAGCCCGGAGGAAAGACUGAGUUCAUAGGGGAACAGGGAUCUGAAACACAGGCUGAUGCUGUAGUUUUUCAGGACAGGCAGGUAGUGGCAUUGCUGGUGUUGUUGGUCCUAUAGCUAUGGUGUGUGUGUAUGCGUGCGUGCUCAGACAGGACUAUUUGUUUUUGUACCUAGAAGAGGAGUCUCCUAUUGUGUCCAUGAUAGACCAUUAAGUCCCAAACCUCUCCAGCCUCCCAUCCUCUGCUUUGUCCCUUUUCCAUUAUUGACAAGGACAUGGGAUCCUCCCGUUAAGCCCACCAAUCCCCCAGGGGUCAGGUUCAUUAUCCUGCCAUCUAGAUAAAAUCCCAAUUAUUAUGUACCCAUGGGGCACUGAUCUCACAGCCCUACUUAUGGCAAAGCAGCUUUCUGUACCACCGUUUGUCUCUGGGCAUGCAUAGAGUCGGAUGGUUAUGAACUGUACUUCUUGGCAGUCCUUCCUGCAAGUCACUCUUGGACCCAGACCCUUCCUUAUGAAUCAGGCCAAGUCACAACGGUCUAAGUUAAAAAUCAAUUCACCAGACCCGUCAGUGUCAAAGUCUGUUCCUCUCUCCCUAAAUAUCGUGGGGUUCUCUGAGGGCCUGAGGAUUCAUUUGGUGGUAAGAGCUUGGUGAGGGUUUGUGUCCUCUGAAGUCUGGUCUCUAAGCAGAGCAAGUGUGAGUAUCAGGCAGUCAGGACUCUCUGGAGAUCUCUGGGAACCACCAUUGUUUAGCAUGCAGCAGGGUGGGUAUGAGGCAUGAGUUUUGAACUCUUAACUGGGUUUCGUAGGUAGGCUACAGCUCGACACAGUCCAGUGCUAGCGCCAGGUGCGUAACUGUCAGGAUCUUUGUGUGGGUCGGCAGGUUUAAUUGAGACAUUAAUUAUUGUCUCCUUUAAGGUACCACUCUUUCUCUCUACUUAUCUUGAACUUUGGGAACGAUAAACACACUGGGGUUUCCAAUUUGUCCCCACAGCCCUGACUUUUGGGAUACUUAAGAGAUAAAAAUAGGCCAAUUGUAUGACCCGGGGAGUAUGGGGGGGGGGGCAAUACCUAAAGAUGAUGUCUUUUAACAGCUUCUUGGCCAUCACAGCAUUUGGUGGGAUAGGCCUCUCUGUCCAUCUACUGACACUACAAGUACCCAGACCUGCACAACCACAGGCUUGGCUUCUAUAAAGUUAAUUUCCAAGUUUCUUCUGGGUCAAGAUCCUCUCUCCCUGGAUCCCAAUCUGGAGGUCCCUCCAUGCUGGGUUUGACUAUCUGGCAGGUGGGCCCCCAAGCCAGGACUUCCUCUGGUUUUGGCCUUAAGUCAAAGACAUGAAGGUGAGCCCUUCAGAGUAGGCUCUCAAACUGACCUUUCCCUAGGUGGGGGUUCUGGUGCCUCUGAUGGAUUAACAGCUGAGGGGAGGAUAAUCCUGCCGAGGUGGGGGGAUUUUCCUACAAGGAAAAGGGAUUGUGCCCCCCCCCCGCCCCGGUCCUGGACAAUCCCUUUUCCUUGUAGGCUGCUUGUGCAGGUUUAGAUCCUCUGUAACUCCUUGUUAGUGUAAGUUGGGACCUCAGGCAACAUGGGUGUCACCAUAAGAGCAUCUGGGCCAUUAGGAUAGUGGUGACCUGGAGUGCUGCCUUCCGGCCCAAUCCCAGGUGUUUCCUCUAGGGAUAGUUCUGUGUCGAUUUUGGUGUCCAGGGCAGUAUAUGACUGAUAUGUUCUCAGGCAGCCACACUGCUUGUAAGAGGCUUAGGAUUGCCUACUUAUUUUUGCCAGUUUUUCCUUCUGAGGUGAGACGCCCUCUUUCCUUGAGGAUGGCCCCAUCAACAAACUCGGACGCAAAAGCAUACCACCUGUCCAAGGAGAUAGUCUUUUUUCUUGGCCCAGCUGUAGGGCCUUUGUCAGAGCUAUUAAUUCUGCUUUUUGAGCUGCUGUUCCUGUAGUCAAUGAUCAUCCUACUUCUACUGCCUCAAUGUAUGUGCCAACCAACCAGUCACAUGCUCUUGGGAUUGGGCUUCAACAUGGCGUCGGCCACGCGCCGACGUGGCACCCCGCCAAGCCAGUUGGGCGACUCGCUCCGCCUUCUCACCUUGGCCCGGCUCCCUUCGGGCUUCCUUCCACUCACCUCGACAAAUUUGGGGUUCUUUCCGCACCGCGAGAAAAACCGUUUCCACCGCCCGUUUACCAGAAACUGCAGAUUCCACACGCCGACCUCCACUGGAACCCUUUAUCGGCAGCAGCAGAUUCGCCACGACGUCGUCGGAACUUCUGUCUUUUGAAUUACUUAAAUAAAUUGACUAUAUACGUCCAACAUA